GAUACCAUAGUCUAGUGGUUAAGAUGCCGCACCCCCAUGAGGAGAUGCGGCGACAUGGGUUCGAAUCCCAUUGGUAUCG